rnacentral:rRNA from 1 species
UUAAUUCUAUGGGUGGUGGUGCAUGACCGUUUUUAGUUGGUGGGUUGCCUUGUCAGGUUGAUUCCGGUAACGAACGAGACCUCAGCCUGCUAAAUAGUGACGUCUGCUGCUGCAGUCGCGCGCUUCUUAGAGGGACUGUUGGCGUCUAGCCAAUGGAAGUAUGAGGCAAUAACAGGUCUGUGAUGCCCUUAGAUGUUCUGGGCCGCACGCGCGCUACACUGAUACGUUCAACGAGCUCCUUGACCGAGAGGCCCGGGUAAUCUUUGAAACCGUAUCGUGAUGGGGAUAGAACAUUGCAAUUAUUGUUCUUCAACGAGGAAUGCCUAGUAAGCGCGAGUCAUCAUCUCGCGUUGAUUACGUCCCUGCCCUUUGUACACACCGCCCGUCGCUCCUACCUGAUUGUACGUGGUGGCGUCAAGCGUAAGGACCGGAACUGAGGGCAAAUCUGCUGACGCAGGGUGCAGGCACGAUCGACGGCCAC